CCAAAGGUGUUCCUUUUACUUUGUUUCGAAGUAUAUUUUGCACCGUUCGUAACCUCGAAACAUGCCAUUGCUGUCGUAAACAGAGGACUCGCUGAACUACCCACUUGAAAGGAGACCAGACAUUCCAUAAAAGUUAUUUUAAGCGUCCGACAGAUAAAAAUAAAGGCAAGAAGAAUUUAAUAUCUCCGAAUACGUUUACGAGACGGGGGGGGGUCGAUCAAAGCACACUUGGUCCUGAGGCGUCGGGAUGUGACCGCCGGUGAUCUCGGACUUCUCCGUCAGAGCUGAAGGCAACUGCUUUUUCUUCAUUUUGUCCUGGGCCAUGUUGUAGU